rnacentral:rRNA from 2 species
CUUUUAUGGAGAGUUUGAUCCUGGCUCAGGAUGAACGCUGGCGGCGUGCCUAAUACAUGCAAGUCGAGCGAACAGAUAAGG